AUGAAUUAAUUAAUUUAAUUGAUUGAAUUGAAUUGAAUUGAUUGUUAUGACCCUGAAGAGCGGCACGGGACAAGCGUGCGCGGCCUGCAAAUUCCAGCGGCGGAGAUGCACGGCGGAGUGCCUCCUGGCACCGUUCUUCCCGGCUGAUCAGCCCAAAAUGUUCCAGAACGUCCACCGUCUAUUCGGCGUUAAGCACGUCCAAAACCUACUCAAGGAGCUCGCCCCCGACCAAAAGCCAAUCGCCAUCAAAUCGAUCAAAUUCCACGCCGCCAUGCGCGACAAGCACCCCGUCCUCGGCUGCGUCGCCGAAAUCCAGGACCUCGAGUACAAAAUUCACCUCCUACAGGAGGAGCUCCACCUCGUCCUCCACCACCUCAAUUACUACCGCCACCAACAACACCACCACCACCACCAGCAGCAGCGAGACGUCUCGUCGUCGAUGGAGGACCAUUUCGUCUCCCAGCUACAACUCGGCGUCGGACCUCCGGGGAACAACGCCGCCGCCGCCGCGGCCCCGCCGCCGCCUCCUCCUCCUCCGAUGCAGUACGAUAAUUACGAUGACGACAUCCAUAUGGAUUCUCUGAAACAGGAUGUUGUUAUUGAUGAUUCUUUCUGGAUGCAACAAAAUUAUUGCUACGAUGAUAAUAAUAAUAAUACCAAUAAUAAUUUUAGUAUUAAUAUUAAUAAUAACGAUUCGAAUUCGAAUUCGAUGGUCGUGCAAUCGGAAUUGAGCACAUCGGCUCACGAUUACGGCGAGAUGCAUCCGUUUUUCGAAAACAUUGAUGACACACAAUCUUACAUCGGAUCCAGUUUCGAACCAUCUGAAAGAGAUUCAAGACAAUCUAUCGAACAGGUGGCGGAGAACGAAUUGAAGAGCGCUGCAGCCUGUUUUAGCCUCACAAGUGUCAACUAAUAAACUAUACCGGAAUUUUUUUUCUCGGAGGAUGAAGUCUAGCGAAGAGUAGCUUGUUUUUCUCGUGAUCACAUAAAUAAAAACGUAGAAUUGAAAGAGAGACACUUUGCACGAGUCGAAUAAUGUUUCAAGUGUCGGAAGAAGGGAAGCAGGAUUUGAAAUAAAAAGUUAUCUACGCUUGUGUUUUUAGCCGAGACAUUUUGUUUGUUGUCAAAUCAUGUCCGAUCGAUUUCGGAAAUAAAUCCAAAUGCUU